UUGUCGCUGUAGCGCCCAAGGGUAGCAUUGUUCACUCAAAUAUGCUGGGAAAAAGCUUAAUUAAUAUAUUGCGUAGAAGUAGAACAACAGUUCAACCAUUUCACGUGCCCAAAAGAAAUUUUGCUCAAGUUGGUAUAGUUAUAUGCACUCCUCCUAGGGUUCCAUGUUCAUACGGGGAGAAAGUAUUACAUAUAUUGUUUAUGUACUGCGUCUGGUUUUUACCAAUGGCGUAUUUUCUUACUCAGCUUAAAGUGUGGAGGAGGGAAUAUGUGCAGUCGAAUUAAAAAAUAAACAGAUAUUGUGAAAUAAAUGUUCUAAUUAGA